rnacentral:rRNA from 1 species
GACGAACGCUGGCGGCGUGCCUAAUACAUGCAAGUCGAGCGAAUGGAUGGGAGCUUGCUCCCUGAAGUUAGCGGCGGACGGGUGAGUAACACGUGGGCAACCUGCCUAUAAGACUGGGAUAACUUCGGGAAACCGGAGCUAAUACCGGAUACGUUCUUUUCUCGCAUGAGAGAAGAUGGAAAGACGGUUUACGCUGUCACUUAUAGAUGGGCCCGCGGCGCAUUAGCUAGUUGGUGAGGUAAUGGCUCACCAAGGCGACGAUGCGUAGCCGACCUGAGAGGGUGAUCGGCCACACUGGGACUGAGACACGGCCCAGACUCCUACGGGAGGCAGCAGUAGGGAAUCUUCCGCAAUGGACGAAAGUCUGACGGAGCAACGCCGCGUGAACGAAGAAGGCCUUCGGGUCGUAAAGUUCUGUUGUUAGGGAAGAACAAGUACCAGAGUAACUGCUGGUACCUUGACGGUACCUAACCAGAAAGC